GAUGAACGCUGGCGGCGUGCCUAAUACAUGCAAGUCGAGCGGACGGACGAGAAGCUUGCGUCUCUGAUGUUAGCGGAGGGCGGGUGAGUCACACGUGUAUCCCCUACCUAUCAGACUGGGAUCACUUCGAGAAACCGGCUCUAAUACCGGAUAAUCUUUUGAACCGCAGGGUGCAAUAGAGAGAGACGGUCUUGCUGGCACGAAUAGCUGGUUCCGCGCUGCAUUAGCUGGUUGUGAAGGUAACGGCCUACCACGGCAACUAUGCCUAGCCGACGUGAGAGACUGAUCGGCCACCCUGGAACGUAGACACGCUCCAGACUCCUGAGGGAGGCAGCAGACGGGAAUCUGACGCAGUGGGCGAGAGCCUGACGGAGCAGCGCCGCGUGAGUGAUGACGGUCUUGCGAUCGUAAUACCGUGUUAUUAGGGAAGAACAGAUGUCUACGGAACUGUGGAGAUCGUGACGGUACCUAAUCAGAAAGCAACGGCUAACUACGUG
rnacentral:rRNA from 1 species